GUGCUCACUUUAGCAGCACAUAUACUAAAAUUGAAAUGAUAAUGGAGAAGAUUAGCAUGGCCCCUCAGCAGGGAUCAUGCAUACACACACAUACACACACACACACACA